rnacentral:rRNA from 1 species
UACGAAGGGGGCUAGCGUUGCUCGGAAUGACUGGGCGUAAAGGGCGCGUAGGCGGCCUGCUAAGUCGAACGUGAAAUCCCCGGGCUCAACCCGGGAACUGCGUCCGAUACUGGCAGGCUUGAAUCCGGGAGAGGGAUGUGGAAUUCCAGGUGUAGCGGUGAAAUGCGUAGAUAUCUGGAGGAACACCGGUGGCGAAGGCGACUACCUGGCCUGUUCUUGACGCUGAGGCGCGAAAGCUGGGGGAGCAAACGGG